AGAGUUUGAUCCUGGCUCAGAUUGAACGCUGGCGGCAGGCCUAACACAUGCAAGUCGAGCGGCAGCGGGACCUUCGGGUUGCCGGCGAGCGGCGGACGGGUGAGUAAUGCCUAGGAAUCUGCCUGUUAGUGGGGGAUAACGCGGGGAAACUCGCGCUAAUACCGCAUACGUCCUACGGGAGAAAGUGGGGGACCUUCGGGCCUCACGCUAACAGAUGAGCCUAGGUCGGAUUAGCUAGUUGGUGGGGUAACGGCCCACCAAGGCGACGAUCCGUAACUGGUCUGAGAGGAUGAUCAGUCACACUGGAACUGAGACACGGUCCAGACUCCUACGGGAGGCAGCAGUGGGGAAUAUUGGACAAUGGGCGAAAGCCUGAUCCAGCCAUGCCGCGUGUGUGAAGAAGGUCUUCGGAUUGUAAAGCACUUUAAGCCGGGAGGAAGGGCUGUAGGCGAAUACCCUGCAGUCUUGACGUUACCGGCAGAAUAAGCACCGGCUAACUUCGUGCCAGCAGCCGCGGUAAUACGAAGGGUGCAAGCGUUAAUCGGAAUUACUGGGCGUAAAGCGCGCGUAGGUGGUUUGGUAAGUUGGAUGUGAAAGCCCCGGGCUCAACCUGGGAACUGCAUCCAAAACUGCCUGGCUAGAGUACGGUAGAGGGUGGUGGAAUUUCCUGUGUAGCGGUGAAAUGCGUAGAUAUAGGAAGGAACACCAGUGGCGAAGGCGACCACCUGGACUGAUACUGACACUGAGGUGCGAAAGCGUGGGGAGCAAACAGGAUUAGAUACCCUGGUAGUCCACGCCGUAAACGAUGUCGACUAGCCGUUGGGCUCCUUGAGAGCUUAGUGGCGCAGCUAACGCAUUAAGUCGACCGCCUGGAGAGUACGGCCGCAAGGUUAAAACUCAAAUGAAUUGACGG
rnacentral:rRNA from 1 species